CACAGCUCGUGGCCAUAGGUGAGGGUAGGGACGUAGAUCGACCGGUAAAUUGAGAGCUUCGCUUUUACACUCAGCUCCCUCUUCACCGUCACAACCCUCAGCAUAAAAUCCCCACAAGAAAGCAUACUCAGAAUGUUUUAUACGUCAGGGUAUUAUUACGCCCCUUCAUGCGUCAAAGCAGAUACAUGACAUGCAUAAGUUACAACAACCACAACCUUUGACACAUUCAAAAAGAACAUUUUCUCCGUCUCGACGCUAGGUGCUUCCUGUCUUCUCGCUUCUUCUCGCUUAUCUCUGGAACAUCAGAAACACAUCCUACAACAAAUUGUCACUUAUGCAGGCACAAAUGCAGUUACAAGCAAAAUAUGUCUGAACUCUUAACUAGAAAUGAGUCUAUAUACUGUGUGUGUGUGUGUGUGUGUGUGUGCAGGCAAACUGUGUGUCUCGACCUCAGUGCACUCUGUCUCACCUCUCACCUCGCCAACUAAAGCUUAUAACCUCUUACCAGACAGAAGGCUAGCUCUUCUGAUGCACCCUGGACCCAGUGCAGGUGGUGGGAGACAGAAGGACUCUGGCCAAAAUAACAUCUCUGAUGCACAGAGUCUCCCACCCCGUGCAUGUAAAUGUUGCUGAACUGCAGAGCUCCUUCAGUGACAGACUGCUGCAUCCUAGAUGCAUGAAGGAGCGUUUCCGCAGGUCCUUCCUCCCUGCAGCUGUCAGACUGUACAAUCAAAACUGCUCCCAACAAACAGAUGUUUACAUCAGCGCUGUAACGUGCACUAUUUUAUCAACCCAUUCGCACUACAACCUGGGUUUGCCUCUCAUCUGUAUUUAAUUUUAUUUAAUUUUAAUAACUAUACAGUACUCUGUUUUUGGUAACUAUUGUCCUUGAUGUAAAUAUGUAAAAAAAAAAAAGUGUAUGUUUCUGUUCUGUGUGCUGUUUGUUUGUAUAUGUGUUUUUCUUGCUGCCGUUACAACCAAAUUUCCCCUUGUGGGACAAUUAAAGGAUUAUUCUAUUCUAUUCUAUUCUAUUCUAUCAUUUUUUUGUCACCACUCAGACAGAUGUAACCGGGUGUCAUUACAGCUGACGUGAAUUAUAUUUUUAUGGAAUUUACGUUUACCCUUAGCCAGCAGUUUCAGGUUUCCCUCAGUGGCCCACUCUGGCCCCUGGUCAACAAUUCACAAUGGUUCCUGGUGCCUCUAGCUUCAUGUUAGAGAAUAACCAGAAUCUUGUGUAAAUGUAAAUUUGUCUGUUAUUGUGUAAAUACUUACGCUAUUGUGUACUCCACACCCAUGGAGAGAUGCCAAACUGCCUUUCACUGUUCUUAUAACAGUGACAAUAAAAAGCUAUUCUAUUCUAUUCUAACCAGAGUUGGUCUCUCAGCAGGUGUGAUUUUGUGUAGGACUACGGUUCCUCCUCAUUAUGACCCAACCAGCCUAUUUUCCCUGCUGCUUGGGAAAGCUAGCAAAUCCCUAAAGACACAAUGACUGAAUACUAUGAAUAUAUUUAGCAGGUGAUUCUGCAGAUAGUGUGCUUUGUAUACGGCAAGUAAAGAUCAAAUGAUAAACUAAGUCAUAAUCUAAAGGUUUUCAAUUAAAUGGGCUAAAUAGAUCAGUUACACAAAUUAGCACAGUGCACUAUAACAUGAACAAUGCCACAGAGAGCGUUAUUGAUGUUUGUGUUAGCUUAACUCUUCUUUGACCAAAAUUUAGACAGACCUAAUGGGAUUAUUUUGUAAUUUAGGCUGUAAAAAAAACAAACAAAAAAUGCUCAUAGUUCAGAAACCGUUUGAAUUUUCUCUCUAACACAAACAGUAAUGGAAUUACAUUCAUUUAAUGAGUGCUUAUCAAGGAGCCCCAGUGGACCCUUUUGGACUGUUCUGAAAAAGGUUCUGCAUCGUUCUUUUGGGCCUAUUUUGUCCCAGAUUUUUUUCUCUAAGCUUCUGCUCUGUUGGUUGUUGUUAGUAUGUUCCAUCCUUUUAUUUUGAUUUUUUUUUCCCAGAUAUUUUUUACUUUGUUGUCAGACAGUGAGAUGAGGACAAGUAUUGGUUUUUGAUACAUCGAUUUUAAGAAUCAGAAUCAUAAUACUUUAUUAAUCCAAGAGGAAUUGAUGGGGUCAUAGUUGCUCCAAGACAGUAAGAACAAAUAAUUACCAAGUAUUUCAAUACUAUAAUAUAUUACAAAAGAUUACAAAAUAGCUCUAAUAUAUAAAUAUAUAUUGAUGCAUUACAUAAAACCAGGCUAUGGCAGAGUGAACGCUUUCACAUGCAGCUAUAGGUAAAUUCUCUGGGCCAGUAUGUAAGGAAAUCUCAAAAGGUUGAUUGUGUUCAUCUGGAUGUUUUCAGUUUGAUCAUCAUCCACGUGGUGACUUCUUCAGCCUCAGCUGAUUGCAGGUUUCCAGCAUUAAAAACAAUACCUUUGCACAAUGACUGCACUGUAAAAUCUAAUAUUGUGUUUAAUUAAAUAUAUUAAGUAGGCUGAACUCAAUUUUUAUCAAUUUGUUAUUAGAACUCAAUUUAAGUAAGUUACCAGUACUUUUUAUACAAAAACGCUGAUCAACUCAAUUUAUUUGAGUUGUCUUAACUUAGAAAAACUAAGUAAGCUGGAAGUUUUGCUUCUCAGUGCAGAAGGAUGAAACGAUGUGGUUUGAAAAUGCCACGUGACUACCGUUGUCCUCCCUAGCACGGAUCAGUCUGUGUGUUCAUGGUGCCAGCAUUUGUUAUGGAAUAUGUUGAGCAAACCUGGAGAAGCAUCGACUCAAAAAAUUAUUGUUGUCAUUUCUGUGGAUCUUUACCUGAUACACUGACUUGGUGAGUAAAUGUUUACUCUUAUUCAAACUGAUUUGUGGCUUCUCUUAGUUUAGCACCAGGUUUAAAAUCUAAAACUAGCUAGUUAGUGUUAGCC
ensembl:lncRNA